rnacentral:rRNA from 1 species
CCUGACGGAGCAAUACCGCGUGAGGGAUGAAGGUUCGUGGAUUGUAAACCUCUUUUUUCAGGGAAGAUAAUGACGGUACCUGAAGAAUAAGCAUCGGCUAACUCCGUGCCAGCAGCCGCGGUAAGACGGAGGAUGCAAGCGUUAUCCGGAAUUAUUGGGCGUAAAGCGUACGCAGGUGGCAUAUCAAGUCCUUUGUUAAAGCGCGAGGCUCAACCUCGUAAAGGCAGAGGAAACUGGUAAGCUAGAGUAUGGUAGGGGCAGGAGGAAUUCCCAGUGUAGCGGUGAAAUGCGUAGAUAUUGGGAAGAACACCAGCGGCGAAGGCGUCCUGCCAAGCCAAAACUGACACUCAUGUACGAAAGCUAGGGGAGCGAAUGGGAUUAGAUACCCCAGUAGUCCUAGCCGUAAACGAUGGGUACUAGGUGUUGGGAGUAUCGACCCUCUCAGUGCCGUAGCUAACGCGUUAAGUACCCCGCCUGGGGAGUACGGUCGCAAGAUUGAAACUCAAAGGAAUUGACGGGGGCCCGCACAAGCGGUGGAGUAUGUGGUUUAAUUCGAUGCAACGCGAAGAACCUUACCAAGACUUGACAUCCUAUGAAUCCCCUUGAAAGGGGGGAGUGCCUUCGGGAGCAUAGAGACAGGUGGUGCAUGGCUGUCGUCAGCUCGUGUCGUGAGAUGUUGGGUUAAGUCCUGCAACGAGCGCAACCCUCAUUUUUAGUUGCCAUCAUUAAGUUGGGCACUCUAGAGAGACCGCCGGUGACAAACCGGAGGAAGGUGGGGAUGACGUCAAGUCAGCAUGCCCCUUACGUCUUGGGCUACACACGUACUACAAUGGCUGGGACAAAGAGUCGCAAGUAUGCGAAUGCAAGCUAAUCUCAUAAACCCAGUCUUAGUUCAGAUCGUAGGCUGCAACUCGCCUACGUGAAGGCGGAAUCGCUAGUAAUCGCAGAUCAGAAUGCUGCGGUGAAUACGUUCCCGGGCCUUGUACACACCGCCCGUCACACCAUGGAAGUUGGUCACGCCCGAAGUCGUUAUUCUAACCCUUGUGGAAGAAGGCGCCUAAGGCAGGGCUGAUGACUGGGGUGAAGUCGUAACAAGGUAGCCGUACCGGAAGGUGCGGCUGGAUCACCUCCUUA